AGAAAGGGUCUCUCAGCAAAGGCAAGGCGCUCUGUCCACCGACGCCGGGAACCGCUCCCCCCCGGCACCCAGAGCCACUCACUCUCAGCGUCCGGAUUCCGUUGUAAACAACUGUUCGGGCCGGCGAAGGAGUGGCGGGCCGGCAGCAGCGAUGGAAGAGGGGCGCGCUACGAGCACGGCCUCGAGGGGUGGGACAAAGGCCGCCCUACGCCGCACCCCACCGCCGUCCCUGCCUCUCCCUCGCCCCCACCCGACAGCACCGGACCCGACCGGCCCGGAGGAGGCUAAGAAAUGCCUGUGAUUUCCACCUGGCGCCGCCUCUGCGGGCCCCGCAGGGCGGCCAGCCUCUGCGUCCGCUUCCCUCACCUGCCGCGGAGUUCUCUCUCCUGCCGCUCGGGCAGGGAAUGAGACGGGCGCCGGCGCCGCGGCGGAGGCGCGGAGCGAUGCGUGGCGAGCACGGGACACUUCAGCCUCUGCCCUUCCGAGGCCGCAUCCCUCACACCGCUGCGGGCCGUCCUCCCAGCCCGGCUCCGAAAGAACGAGACUUCAGCCCGGAAGAGACGCGGGGCAAGGGGACGAACAGUUCCCAUGAGGGUUCAGCUCGGCGUCGGUACAUAAACAACAGUGAGCACUUGGAGCAUUUUAUGAACUGUGUUCUAGAAGGGGAAAAUAUGCUAAGACAAGCCCAUUUUGGAUCCUCAUCUCCCUCCAUCACAGGUAGUGGGCGCCGUGAUUAUCUCCGCACUGGAUUAGUGGCUGCUCCGAAAAAACAUGCUUUUCUCACCUUUUAGCAGUAUGAUAGCAGACUACGUGAACAGAGAGCUUUUGUUCCUAAUCUUAAAAAACAAAAGCUAUGCAAUUCUUAACUGUUCAUUUGUAAAGAUGCUAUAAGACUGAGCAUAACUCAUGCAUGCCUUAAUUAAGCAAAAUGAGGGUAAUAAUCAAGACUCCUACCCGUAGCCUAUAAAACUUGUUAAAUUUAAAUAACUAGAAAAGCAAGAUGAAGUGAAAUAAGUGCUUUCAAACACUACUAAAUAGGUCACACGUGGGCAGUUACUCCUAAAGUAUUGAAGGCUGAGUGCAACACAACACCCUCAAACCAUUCACUAACUAGCACAUUAGGUAUUUUUUCUUAAAUAUGCAUGCCCAUAAAAGUCCUCAGAUGAGGAUUCACUUUAGGAGAGAGAAAAACAAAACCCUUAAGAUACUCAACUAACCAGAAUAAAGAUCCACCAAGAAAAUAUUUAGCUCUCA
rnacentral:lncRNA from 1 species